AUAUUUUUCUUUUCUAUUGUGGCAUAUAAGAUUUCAUAUCGAAUGUACUAAAUCUGGGGUCCGACGUCCAUGAACUUUUCAAUCUUUGAACUUCUAUAUUGGAACCACGUCAUAGGAUCAAUAUAUGAAUCUGUUAUUUUUCUCCAUUGUUGAAGCAUAUGAUAAAAAGAUCAUAACAUGUCAUUUUUCAUAUCUCAUGUAUUAUCAGCCCUCAGUCAAUAUCAGCCCUCGAGCCAUGCGGCUCUUGGCUGAUAAAUACAUGCGAUAUGAAAAAUGCAUUAUCAUGCAAAUUGGUGCAAAUAUUAACUUUAACAAUGUUUAAUCAUGAAACAUUCCAGACAAAAGAAUCUUGCAAGAUAAGAACUAGAAACAAAUAGUUCGGAAGCAGAGCUCCUUAGUCAGGACCAUUAUAAUUAUUGCUUGUUAUUUUGUUUAUGCAUGUUACAUAUAAUUAUUGUUACUGUGAUAUGAUUAGGGCUGUUCCAAAAUUCAUCAGAUCGGGGAAUGGGAGGCAACGAGAUUAAAUGGUUAGUAAGUGGCAGAUCCAGAAUUAUUUACAUUAUAAGGAGGACCCACUGACUGCCAUAACAGAAGGUGCUUUAGUGAUUCCCUAUAUAAUCAACCAUUUUUUUUACAUGAUGAGGGGGUGGGGUGGGCCCCCUGAAUCUGCAUAUAUAUGAGUGGCAGUUUUUUGUAAGAACUGUACAGUAAUGAAAAAUGAAAAUAUUGAUUUAUUGGUGAUUUUGGUCUUAAAAAGUGUCUCCAAUGCCCCCACAUUUAAUUCUGGAACAGUCCUUAGUUAGAAGUCCCUUAUACAUGUCAUUGUUACGAUUUUCGUCAGAAAAUCUUUUUUACAUUAAGUAUUUAUUACAGUAAGUAUUACUUUCUAAACACAAACCAAGAGAAAUGUGGAAAUAAAUAUGUGUUAAUGGAUCUGUUCAGUAAAUGUAUUUUGUUUUAAGAGUUUUCUUUGGAAAAAAUGUCUAUGGAGGCUGCAGAGAAUGCACAUGUAUUGUAAUUGACAAGGUCAAAGUUUAUUUUGGGAAUUGGUCUACUGAACUUUGUGUGUCAAAAUUGAGUGAUAAUUAUGUUGAAAUAUAUUCAUUAAACUUUUUUAAUAUUGUAAAAAUAUUGGCAAAACUAUUUAGGUCCUCGAUGCUCUCCAACUUUGUACUUUAUUUGACCUUUUGAACAUCUUUUGAUUCGAGCGUCACUGAUGAGUCUUUUGUAGACGAAACGCGCGUCUGGCGUACUAUAAAUAUUUAAAUCCUGGUAUCUAUGAUGAGUUUAAUUAUUACCAUAUAAACAAGAAAAAUUAAUACAUUUUAGGCGCUUUAAAUACUGAAUUUGAUAAACAUUAUCCUGAAC
rnacentral:lncRNA from 1 species